rnacentral:rRNA from 1 species
UUAAGGUUGACCUCGGAUCAGGUAGGAAUACCCGCUGAACUUAAGCAUAUCAAUAA